UACGAAGGGGACUAGCGUUGUUCGGAUUUACUGGGCGUAAAGCGCGCGUAGGCGGAUCGCUAAGUCAGGGGUGAAAUGCCGAGGCUCAACCUCGGAACUGCCUUUGAUACUGACGAUCUGGAGAUUGGGAGAGGUGAGUGGAAUUCCGAGUGUAGAGGUGAAAUUCGUAGAUAUUCGCAAGAACACCAGUGGCGAAGGCGGCUCACUGGCCCGGUACUGACGCUGAGGUGCGAAAGCGUGGGGAGCAAACAGGG
rnacentral:rRNA from 1 species